rnacentral:rRNA from 1 species
GAUGAACGCUGGCGGCGUGCUUAACACAUGCAAGUCGAACGGAAAGGCCCAAGCUUGCUUGGGUACUCGAGUGGCGAACGGGUGAGUAACACGUGGGUGAUCUGCCCUGCACUUCGGGAUAAGCCUGGGAAACUGGGUCUAAUACCGGAUAGGACGACGGUUUGGAUGCUAUUGUGGAAAGUUUUUUCGGUUUGGGAGGGGCUCGCGGCUUAUCAGCUUGUGGGGGGGGUAGUGGCCUACCAAGGCGUCGUCGGGUAGCCGGCCGGGGAGGGUGUCCGGCAAAAUUGGGAGUGAGAUAGGGCCCAGACUCCGAGGGGAGGCAGCGGGGGGGAAUAUUGCACAAUGGGCGGAAGCCUGAUGCAGCAACGCCGGGGGGGGGAUGACGGCCUUCGGGUAGUAAACCGCUUUCGCCUGUGACGAAGCGUGAGUGACGGUAAUGGGUAAAGAAGCACCGGCUAACUACGUG